ACCCAGGUGGCUCAGUCAGUUAAGCAUCUGACUUCAGCUCAGGUCAUGAUCUCAUGGUCCAUGGGUUCGAACCCCACGUGGGUU
rnacentral:tRNA from 1 species